UACGAGGGGGGCAAGUGUUGUUCGGAAUCACUGGGCGUAAAGGGUGCGUAGGCGGGUCUUUAAGUCAGGGGUGAAAUCCUGGAGCUCAACUCCAGAACUGCCUUUGAUACUGAAGAUCUUGAGUUCGGGAGAGGUGAGUGGAACUGCGAGUGUAGAGGUGAAAUUCGUAGAUAUUCGCAAGAACACCAGUGGCGAAGGCGGCUCACUGGCCCGAUACUGACGCUGAGGCACGAAAGCGUGGGGAGCAAACAGG
rnacentral:rRNA from 1 species